rnacentral:ncRNA from 1 species
CAGGUCAUUUGGCAAACUGACUCGAAAGGUCAGGACGCAAAGCCUCCGGUCUAACGGCACAUGCCCAUGAUAGCGGGGUUGCCAUU